rnacentral:other from 1 species
CAAGGGCUGCCGCGUGCGGGCGGACCAUUCAACUCCGGCGACCUUACUCAUCGUCAGGGAGCUGGCAAGCUGGCCGGGACCGUGGUCCCGGCUCAACUGGCACCCACCUAGUUCGCUAGGUCGACGGGAGUGAACAUACCCCCGGCGCAGGCGGUUCUUGC